rnacentral:rRNA from 1 species
CUGGCCCUACGGGGCGCAGCAGUGGGGAAUAUUGGGCAAUGGGCGCAAGCCUGACCCAGCAAUGCCACGUGAAGGAAGAAGGCCCUCGGGUUGUAAGCUUCUUUUUUCAGGGACGAAGGAUGUGACGGUACCUGAUGAAUAAGCUCCGGCUAACUACGUGCCAGCAGCCGCGGUAAUACGUAGGGAGCAAGCGUUAUCCGGAUUUACUGGGUGUAAAGGGCGCGUAGGCGGCGCGUUAAGCCUGGCGUGAAAGCCCGCGGCCCAACCGCGGGACUGCAUUGGGAACUGGCGCGCUGGAGUGCCAG